UACGUAGGGGGCAAGCGUUGUCCGGAAUCAUUGGGCGUAAAGCGCAUGUAGGCGGCCGCGUGAGUCGGAUGUGAAAUCCCGGGGCUCAACUCCGGAACUGCAUCCGAUACUGCGCGGCUUGAGGCAGGUAGAGGAGAGUGGAAUUCCCGGUGUAGCGGUGGAAUGCGCAGAUAUCGGGAGGAACACCGAUGGCGAAGGCAGCUCUCUGGGCCUCUCCUGACGCUGAGAUGCGAAAGCGUGGGUAGCGAACAGGAUUAGAUACCCUGGUAGUCCACGCUGUAAACGAUGGGUGCUAGAUGUGGGGGUCUGUUCACGAUCUCCGUGUCGAAGCUAACGCGUUAAGCACCCCGCCUGGGGACUACGGCCGCAAGGCUAAA
rnacentral:rRNA from 1 species